GCCUUCGUGGUGUAAUGGUAGUACAUUCGGCGCGUAUUCCAGAGGACCAGGUUCGAGUCCCGGCGAAGGCA
rfam:Stegodyphus mimosarum contig38572, whole genome shotgun sequence.